UGGGGAAUAUUGCACAAUGGGGGAAACCCUGAUGCAGCGACGCCGCGUGAGCGAAGAAGGUUUUCGAAUCGUAAAGCUCUGUCCUAUGGGAAGAUAAUGACGGUACCAUAGGAGGAAUCCCCGGCUAACUACGUGCCAGCAUCCGCGGUAAUACGUAGGGGGCAAGCGUGGUCCGGAAUCACUGGGCGCAAAGGGUUCGCCGGCGGAAAUGCAAGUCAGUUGUGAAAGGCAGAGGCUCAACCUCUGUAAGCAAUUGAAACUGUAUUUCUUGAGAUGUGGAGAGGCAAGUGGAAUUCCGAGUGUAGCGGUGAAAGGCGUAGAUAUUAGGAAGAAUACCGGUGGCGAAGGAGACUUGCUGGACACAAACUGACGCUGAGGAACGAAAGCGUGGGUAGCAAACAGG
rnacentral:rRNA from 1 species